CUGUAUAAUACGAAUUGCAUCCAAUAAGUAAAUAAUAAUGAUGUUUCAUCACAAUUCCAUAUUAGCAUUUGGGAAUAAUGUUGCUUUCAGAACAAUUACAAUAUUUUAAGUCGUUUUUAAAAUAUGUGUGUGUGUGUAUAUACUGUAUAUAUAUACAGUAUGUAUAUACACACACAUGUAUAUAUGCUGUGCUCAUUUUAGGAGUACAUGACAUUGGUGUAAACAAGAGUUCAUAAAAUAUGUUGAUAUUGCUUGACAUUUACUAUGCCCCACUUCAAAACGGACCUCAGAGGAAAAGUGAAGGAGUUUUGGUUAUGAAGGGGCGGGGCUGUUUUCACACCCCAAAACGUCACAGUUACGUUGCAGGAAACGAGUUUCUACAGCUACCCUCCCCCACAUCACACUCGCUGACCAUCAAUUAGGAAACGCGCGCUUUGCUACCUGCACAAAAGGAAGGCGUUGAGAAGAGUGAGCGUACGAGUCAGCAUCAUCGAGAAAACCCCAGAAAGUGACAAAUACUUCAGAAUUAAAGCAGAUGGACAAUCCCACUGAAGAUGGUGAUUAUUCUGACUCAAGUCUUUUUGGAUCAGAUGAGGAAUACAAACCAACUAAGACAUCCUCUGAGUCGAGUGAUGACGAGGAGAUAUUCCAUCCAAAAGGUAGAAAAAUUGUUCUCUUAUGAUACAUCCAGUGAAGACUCUACAAGUCAUCAGACAUAUGAAGCAGAGGAGCACAGUCAUGUCUGCAAUUCGUAAAGAAGCCCCAAAAAGGGAAAAGCAUCUCUCCAAAAGAGGGAAGACUGAAUUGGAUGAUUCGAGUCCAGGCGGGGACCCUGGCGG